AUUGAACGCUGGCGGCAUGCCUUACACAUGCAAGUCGAACGGUAACGCGGGGCAACCUGGCGACGAGUGGCGAACGGGAGAGUAAUGCAUCGGAACGUGCCCAGUUGUGGGGGAUAACUGCUCGAAAGAGCAGCUAAUACCGCAUACGACCUGAGGGUGAAAGCGGGGGAUCGCAAGACCUCGCGCAAUUGGAGCGGCCGAUGUCGGAUUAGCUAGUUGGUGGGGUAAAGGCCCACCAAGGCGACGAUCCGUAGCUGGUCUGAGAGGACGACCAGCCACACUGGGACUGAGACACGGCCCAGACUCCUACGGGAGGCGGCAGUGGGGAAUUUUGGACAAUGGACGCAAGUCUGAUCCAGCCAUGCCGCGUGCGGGAAGAAGGCCUUCGGGUUGUAAACCGCUUUUGUCAGGGAAGAAAUCUUCUGGGUUAAUACCUCAGGAGGAUGACGGUACCUGAAGAAUAAGCACCGGCUAACUACGUGCCAGCCGCCGCGGUAAUAC
rnacentral:rRNA from 1 species